UAAUUUAAAAUUUAUUAUUAUUAUAAUAUAUAUAUAUAUAUAUAUAUAUAUAUAUAAAUAAUUAUUUUAAUAAAAAUAAUUUUAAUAUUGUUAUGAAAGUUUUUGUAUUUUUAAAGAUAAAAUUUUAAAAAAUUAUAGUUUAAUUGUAUUGAGAAAGAUUAUUGAAAUAUUUUGAAAAUUAGUUUUUAAAAAAGUAAAUUUUGUUUAUUGUACCUUGUGUAUCAGGGUUUAUUAAUUUAAAUAUAUUUAUAUAAUAUAAUUCUCGAAUUUAAAAGAUUUAAUUUAUUAUAAAUUAGUUAAUGUUGAAUAAUUAUUAAAAAUAAUAAAUUAGUAAUGAAAUGUUAUUCGUUUUUAAAUAUAUCUAGUUUUUUAAUAAAUAAAUUUAAUUUAUAAAUUAUGAUUUUAUUAUUAUAAUAUUUAUUUAUAAUAAUAUUUUUAAUUUAAAUAUUUUAAGGGAUAAGCUUUAAAUUAUAAAAUUAUAAUUUUAUGUUAAAUAUUAAUUAUUUUAUAGGCUUAGAAUUAGUUUUUAUUUGAAAAAUGUUAUAAUUUUAUAUUUAUAUUUAUAUUUAUAUAAAUAUAUAAUUAAUAUAAUUUUUAUUAAUUUAAUUUUUUUAUUAAAAUAAUUUAAUUAAUAAUUUUUAAUUAAAAUAAUGAUAAAAUUAGUAAAAUUUUAUUUAUAAAUUUUUAUAAUUGAAAUAUUUUUAUAAGGAAUUAGGCAAAUAAAUUUUCUCGCCUGUUUAACAAAAACAUGUCUUUUUGAAUAUAAUUUAAGGUUUAAUCUGCUCAAUGAUUAUUAUUAAAUAGCCGCAGUAUUUUGACUGUGCAAAGGUAGCAUAAUAAUUAGUCUUUUAAAUGGAGGCUAGAAUGAAUGAUUGGACGAAGUAAAUUCUGUCUCAUAAAAAUUAAAAUUUAAAUUUAAUCUUUUAGUUAAAAAGCUAAAAUAUUAUUAAAGGACGAGAAGACCCUAUAGAGCUUUAUAAUAAAUUAUUAAUAAAUUUUAAUUUUUUUUUAUUAAUUUAAUAUUAUUUUAUUGGGGCGAUAGGAAAAUUUAUUAAACUUUUUUAAAUUAAUUACAUUUAUUUAUGAACUUUUGAUCCUAAAAUUUAGAUUAUUAGAUUAAGUUACCUUAGGGAUAACAGCGUUAUUUUUUUUUAGAGUUCAUAUUAAUAAAAAAGAUUGCGACCUCGAUGUUGGAUUAAAAUUAGUUUUAGGUGUAGAAGCUUAAAUUAUAAGUCUGUUCGACUUUUAAAAUUUUACAUGAUCUGAGUUCAAACCGGUGUAAGCCAGGUUGGUUUCUAUCCUUAAUUUAUUAAAAUAUUAUAGUACGAAAGGAAUUAAUAUUUAAAAUAAUUUUUUUAUUUUAAGAAUAUUAUUAAAUAAUAUUUAUAUAUAUAUAUAUAUAUA
rnacentral:rRNA from 1 species